AGAAGCUCACUGGCUCUACCCGGGACCCUGAGCUGCCUAGGGCUGGGGGAGGCGUCCGAGCAGUCGCGGAGCCUGCCAGACCCUCGGCUAGAAUGGGGACCCGCUGUCCAGCCGAGGCUGGCGGAGGCGCACCGGGGGCGCAGAGGGCGAUGCUAGUAGUCUGGACCCAAAGGACUGCAGGAAGGAGACCGUGAGGAAGCGUCUGUGCCUGGGAAGCCCCAGCUCCUGCUUGGGCCAGGCAGCCAGCACCUACCUGAUCCCGGGGAACCGGAGUCCGGCGGCGGCAGGAGAGCUGCCAGGUAGGACGGCGGGCAAAGCGCUUCUUCAAGUUCCUGCGCUGGAGUCACCACCCGAGAGGCAUCGCCGUCUGGCGUUGGUGUCUGAGCAGAAGCCGCAGGAACCAGCGGGAGCAGCAGGAGGAGCUGCGGGACUCGUUUGCCGAGGCUCGUGUUCUGCUCAAAAGUUUGUAGACG
rnacentral:lncRNA from 1 species